rnacentral:rRNA from 1 species
CUGGGCUUGACAUGUCCGGACAUCUGCAGAGAUGCGGGAGUGCCCUUCGGGGAAUCGGAACACAGGUGCUGCAUGCCUGUCGUCAGCUCGUGUCUUGAGAUGUUGGCAUAAGUCCCGCAACGAGCGCAACCCUCGUUGUUAGUUACCAGCGGUUCGGCCGGGCACUCUAGGGAGACUGCCGGUGACAAACCGGAGGAAGGCGGGGAUGACGUCAAGUCCUCAUGGCUUUUAUGUACAGGGCUACACACGUGCUACAAUGGCGCGUACAGAGGGAAGCCAACCCGCGAGGAGGAGCAGGCCCCAGAAAGCCAGUCGUAGUUCGGAUUGCAGUAUGCAACUCGACUCCAUGAAGUCGGAAUCCCUAGUAAUCGCGGAUAAGCAUGCCGCGGUGAAUACGUUCCCGGGCCU